GAAAUGGCUGGGAUUCCUCCCGCGGCGCUGCGCGGCCGGCUGGGCGGGCUGGGAGGGACCGCGCAGGAGGCCGGGGCACGGCAGUGGGGACGCCUCCCUGGAGAGCUCCCGCCACUCACUGCAGGCACUGAGGCCCCAGGUCCCGGGAAGCCUCCAGAGGGGACCACAUGGAGGGGCACGGCUCGGCUCUUGCAGAGACGACCCCAACACCCAACCCCCAGCUCAGCCCAGCCUCCAGCUCCUGAUCUUCCUUCGCUCAGGCCUGUGGGGACAGGGGGAGGGAAGCAAGGUGCUCGAGGAGGGUGCCGGGGACCGACUCUGCUCCUGGUAGCAAAGCUCAGACAGUUCUAGGCCCAGUCCUCAGGGCUGGCUGAGCAGGCCUUUCUUUGCUACAGGUUUCGGGAGCAGAGCAGGAAACUGGCUGGGGAGGGAAGGCCAGAGAGAGAGGGUGGCCCCUCUGGGGCCUGCUGGUAACAAGAAGGGCUGGGUGGGCUGGAGGAGUAGACCUGAGGGAGGAACAUGGGGGUCCUAGCGAGCUGGGACUGGGCCUGGAGAGCCGUCCUGAUCAGACUGCUGUGGGGAGGCCUGAGAAGAGAUCAGAAACCUUCUUGGAGUCAUCUGAACUUGAGAAAGCUCCCUGCUUCCCUUGGACACAAGCAAAAUGCAAAAUUUGGAGGUGGGGAGGGGGGAUAGAUGAAGGACUUGAAGUGGGGGCCCAUGUAACCUCUGCUAGCAAGGUGGCCCCAGUACCUGCACAGUCUCUUUACAAUUCCUGGUUUGCUGCAGAAGCUGGCCUGUGAGAGGCUUUGUCUUGGCCUGGCACCUAACUCUCACCGUGUGAGCGCUGCCCUCACACUCCCUGCCUUGUUCUCCUCAGCCUGGAAGGCCCCUGACCCUCUUGGUCUGGUGAAUCUGACUCUUUGCCCAGCCAUCUUAUUCAUUCCCUGAUUUCCAUAUCCUCUAUGCUCUCUGCCUGCUUCCUCAUGGGCCUCAGUGUGCCUUUUACGCACACGGAUUUUCAUGAAAGUGCGCUUAGAAAGCUGUCUCCCAAGCCAGACAGUAGCUCUGGGAGGGCAGGACUGGCCAAGUCGUACACUGCCUGAGUGUUGGUAGAGUGCAUGAACUUCCCGCCUGACUCCAUAGAUAACUUACUAUGCAGACCUGCCCUGCCCUCUCUUGACACCCAAAGAAGGGCCCAGUGCAAUGGGCUGGAUGCCAUUCUCUCCUUAGAACCACUCGGGACUUCACACCUUGGUCCUACUCCCCAACUCCCUUUUUUCUGCUAUUUUUUUUUUUUUGGUCUUUUUCAUUUUUAUCGGUACCAGGGAUCAAACUCACGACCGCCUGCUUGCAAGGCAGGUGCUUAUGCCGCUGAGCUAAAUCCCCAGCCCCUCCCUUUUUUCUUAUCCUCGCUCCAGGCUUGGAGCAGGACUUGGUUGAUGAGCACCUAAGUCCCUAUCCCACCCUCCCCCACCUCCACUCCCAGGAUUUAGCAGCUGUUUCUCAACCCAAGGCUCAGGAAGUCUGGCUCCACACAAAGUGAGGCUGCCCUGUCGUUCUCCGUGGGAUUGAGCUCAAAGGAAGGAAGCGCCAUAGCCCAAGGCUGGGGGGAGCAAUGGCCAUAGUGUGUCUGUUUGCUAUGCCACAUCCUCAGGGUGCCUUCAAGCUUGAAGCAGCACAAGGACACUCACAUCAUCUGAAUCCAAGCCGCCAGCUUAAAUUUCCACCCUUUCAACCCUUGGGGGGCACCCAAGUGGUGGGACUUCGGUCUGGACAGAGACUCUCCCCCAAAUAAGUUUCCUGCAAGACUGGGGAGGAAACAGGAGAGCAGAGUCAGCCUGUCCUAAUGCAUUUGCCCCACCUCAGAUGCAUUAGUGGGUGACAGUGGAACUGGGGCAUGGCAGGGCAUGCAGUGUCAUUUCCAGGGCUGGCUCUAGACCCCCCCCCCACGCACAAGGCACUGGCCCAGGUGGCCUUGGCAGACCAUUCAUACAGCGCUCACACAGUCACAAUGGUUCUGGGAAUUCUGGAUGUCAAAACUACAUUUUUCACAAGAAAAAGGAAGAGAUUUUGGCAUUUUUGCUGGAGAAACAGGAACUGACCAAGACAGUGAACUCCAGGGAUUGCUUCCUCACCCGGUGCUCAGAACGAGGGUGGGGUCUCUGGGCCCUGCUAUGCUCUCCCAGGGAUUGUGGGGAGGAGCUCUGGGGUUUAAUGGGACCAGAGGGGAAAGAAGAGAAAGGGCAGGGGGAAGGGAUGGAGAAACACGCAGGGGAAGGGAGGGCAGGAAGGACCGGCUGGUCCUUGAGCGCCGGGAAGCCGGGAGUCAGAGGGGGUGGAGUUGGGGUUGCGGGCACCUGGGACUCGCGGAUGCUCUGUGUGACUUCUGUUUUUAUGCUGUCAUAAAAGAGCAUCAGCACCGUGUUUCCUUUGGGCUCCCAGUUCCGGAGUUGUGGUGCUGUGGUCUCAUAGCACUGGAAGACAACUGCAGGUCCUCACUGUAGUCUCGGCCCUGUUUUCUCCUGACCCGCUGCCCUGCGUCAAACAGUUUGUGGAUCCUGGGUGAAGAAGAAAAACAUUUUCCCCUUGCAGAGCCUAGAACCGAGUAGCAGGAGCUGGUGUUCAAACAAUAAAGCUUUACAGUAACAGUAACAAAGAGAGCUCAGGGUAAUGGUUUCUAAGAGAGGAGAUGAGCCACAGCAGAAAGCUCUUAGCAAAAGGUGGGAUCUAAAGAGGGCUUUGGAUGGCGGAUAGCCAUUUGGGAAAGAGGACCUUCCCAGGAGAAGGGGGAUGGAGCAUCUGUAGCUCAGUGCGUGAGAGAGGUGGGAGCCCAGCAGGUGGCGCACAUGGGUACAGGGGCGGGCUGGGACACAGAGCUGGAGGUCCCAACUGCCCACCAAAGUCUGUAGGAUUUCUCCAGGGGCACAGAGGAGGCCUUGACCAGCAAAGGCAGGACCCAGUAGCACAUGCUGCAGGCACCUUCGAGAAUGCAGCAAGGUGAAGGGAGCUGGCCUGGGAAGGGGGAGCUGCAGCCAACACACCCAUGCGGGGACUCAACAGACCGCAUCUGGAUUUGCACUCUCGGUUCCUUGCAGGGUGCAGCUGACCUGAGACUGGGCCCCUUGACUGUGUCUUCAUUGGCUCUACCUGUGAUGUACAUGGAGGCUGCAGCUCUCAAAUGGAAACAAAGCUAGUGGCAGGUGGAGGCCUCUUCCUUCUGGACAGACUGAGGAAAGGUGGGGUGGGGGUGGGGGAUGUACAGGUAUAGGCCCAGACAAGGGUGAGACUCUGGAAACCCGGCAGGAAGGAAGAUGGCAGAAGGGAACACUCCUGAGGCAACUGGGCUGGUGGAUGGGUCGGGGGCGGCGAAGGUGCCAGGGUUUAGAGGUCUCCUGGGCCAGAAGAACUUUCCUGUGCUCCUUGGAUCGCAUGGCUCAGUCCUGAAUGGAGCAGUCCGUCUCACCUAGUGUAGUGGAUGGCAGGGUUGCGGCAGCUGCCAUUGUAAAAUAAACUUGAGUUCUUUUCCUGGCUCAUAGGCUCUCAGUAGGGCAGAGGUGGCAUCUCCCCCAGGUCUUAGUACUCACUAGUCCCUCAAUAAGUCACCUGAAGAAAAGGAUCAGGAUCAGAGGCCCCACGAUGAAGAGGAGAACCCUUAGAGAUGAUGGUAGAGGCUGAGUUUAUUGUUUCAGUCACCCUCACCCCGUAUCUGGGUGUGAUUGGGAAAUGCGCUUCCCGUGGGGGGUCUUUGCUUAUGGCCCAGUUCCUCUGUACUGCUCUCUUCCCCCAGCUGGCUUUCGUUUCUUCCAUGGGGCACGUGUUAGUAUUUAUUAAUUCACUCCAUCUAUAUUGGUCAUCUCCAGUGUGCUAGGUAUCGUACUAGGUGGGGAACACAUGGCAAACAAUGCUUAUGACUCAAGUAGGUGAGCAUUUAAAACUGUUCCCUACAUGGGCCGGUUAUCCUUGGCUGGAGGAAUGUGGGAUUUGUCUUGCUAGUUAUGGGUUUGUGGUGCCAUCUGCUGGUCACAUGUGAGUACACACCCGCAGACUGGGGUGAAUGAACACAUGGAGAGGCCACUCAGGAAAACAUAAAAGGAGACAGACAUAGCUGCAUACACACAGUGAACCGUAUACGUGUUCACAUACAGGCACACACAUCUGAAGUGCAAACACACAGACACAGUCACAGGUAGAAACUCAGGAUCUAACAGAGCACCUCACCUUCGGUAGGAGUCCAAUACGUAUUUUCUAGUCUGCAAAACAAAACCAAUUCUUUAGAUCAGCUUUUUUCCAGGUUCAGUUUUCACCUUUCUUCCUAGCUACUGAGCCACGAAUGCUCCAGCCAAUGCUCCUGCCCUUGCCUCACUGUGUCUUUAAAAACAAAUUUAAAUCUAACUUCGGGAAGCUGCUUUAUCUCUGUGGCUAAGGUAAUACUUCCUCUUGUGAGCUUUUGUAACAUCCUGAUAUUUAUCAUCAUCCUAUUUCCCUCCCAGCUAUUUGGGAGCUCGCGGCGUCUUCUCCUUUUCUACUCUGUAAAGUUUUUGAGGACAGAACUGGCGCCUGACUCAGGCUGCCACAUCACCUUGCAUAAAGGAAAGGCUUGCUGAAUGAAUGAAUGAACGUCUCAGUCGUGGGCUUGCAGGAGAAUGAAGACAAUACACUGAGACGCACAUUUACUUACGUACAUCACUCUUUCCUGCAAAGACAUCCGUGGUUACCUACUAGCACGGAAACACAUCUCUGUCCCUAUGGCUGCCAGCAGACAUGUUCGUUACAUGAAACUCUUAAUUCUUCUUUCAUUAUUUCAUUUCGGUUCUUCUGCUCCCUGGGCACUGCAGCAAUAGCCUCUUAGCUGUUCUCUAUUUCAGUUCUUCCCUUUGCACUGUUUCCAUUGACCUCAGGUUGCAUCUUUUUGAGGAUGUUGUUUACUAGCUCAAGAACUCUAGUAGUUCAUGCUACCUUGAAUGAUAAAGUCUUGAAAAAAAACCAAAUCUUUUCUUUUUUAACUCUUUCUUUAGAGAAGGAGUAGUAUCCAGUAAAAAAAAAUAAUGGAGUUGCUCUGUGCAAAUGUUUAUCAUUGCCUAUUAAAAGAUGCAUCAGUGGUUGAUGUACCAGUUCAACUUUCUUACUUCCUGGAAUGUGAUUGCAGGAGCUGCUGCAACUGUUUUUCAAUCAUGAGGGAAAGACCAAGAUGUUGCCUCUGACAUCACUGAGCAACUGAACAAAUGAUACUAUGUAUAGAUUCUUCUUUUACAUGACAAAAUAAACCUUUUUGCUUAAGCCACUGCAAAUUUUGUUUUCUGGGAUAGUUCACCUGGAUGUAAUCCUAAUUUAGGAUUUUAAAUGCUUUUCCAGGAAUACUCACAGGAUAAAGUCUGAUUUGCUUAACCUGAUGUUUAUGAACCCUCAUGAUCUGGCUGUACUCAGCUCAUUCAGUCUUCCUGGUAUUGUCAUGGCCACACGCUAAUCCAGGCCUCCACCAUCUCUCCCCCAGACUACCAGGAACUUCUGGCUCAUCUCCCAUUCCCACCAUCCAGUUCUUCCAACCAUUCUUGUCAUAGCAGCCAGAGGUCCUUUUAAAAUAAAUCAGAUCAGUGUCUUUUUAAUUCUUAAAUCCUUUUAGUGACUUUUUAUUACUCUUUAACUCAAAUCUAAACUUCUUAAUAAAACCAAAACUUUACAAGGAUUCUAGGGUCAAUUAGCUAGUCCUUAACCUUGGCUGUACAUUAGAAUCACAUAGAAAUAUUAAAACAUUAUCUGUGAUUGAACCUUGCCGUGUGUGUGUGUGUGUGUGUGUAACUGGGGACCUGUUUCAGUCACUUUCUUCAAUGCUGGGACACCCUGCAUUUAGGAGAGGUUUAUUUUGGCCCGCAUUUUUGUCCGCAGUUGGCUGGCUUCAAGGCAGGAUGGUGUGAUGGAGAGGCCGGGGUGGAGGAGUGCUAUUCACACAGUAACAAUCAGGAAGCAGAGGAAGAAAGCAGGAGCUCAGAAAGGAGCUCUGUCUCUCCACCGUGCACCUCUGGGACCAUCAUUUCCGUUCACUUGUUUGAAAGAUGGGGAUUUGGAAGGUGACUGGAUCAAGCGAGCUUUGACUUCAGAGGACGAAGCCAUGGAUGAGAUGAUCUGACAGCAUUGUCGGGAAGCUAUGGACACAGGAAGCAAAGCCAAACUGAAGGAGACGGGUCACGGAGGUGUGACACGGACUCUACCCCGUCCCUGGUCCCUUCUCUUGGGCUCUUUCCUGCUCUCUCUUCCUAGCUGCCACAAGAUGAACAGCUGUAUUCCACCCCCCUCUUCUGUCAUGAUGUUCUGCCUGUGCAAUGGAGCCAGAGGACUGUGGACUGGACUCCCUGAAACCAUGAACCAAAAUAAAUCAUUCCUCCACCGAGGUGUCUUUGUUAGAUGUUUUAUCAUAGUAAUGAGAGCUGACUAACAUGCAUUCCCGUCAGUCAUUAAGUUUCCGGGGAAUACCCAAGCAUCUUUUUUUUGUUAAUUUUUAGUUUAUUUCACUUUAUCAGAAAAUAUAUUUUGCAUAAUCUCAAUUCUUUGAGGAUUGUUUAGACUUGUUUUAUGCCUCUAAAUAUGGUCUACGUUAGUGACUAUUUCGUGUGGACACCUUGGAUAGAGUAUUUACAAUUUCAACUAGGUCAGUUCAUUGAUCGUGAUGAUAGACCUUCUGUAUCCUUAACUGAUUUUCUGUCUACUUGCUUCAUAACCUAAUUAUAGCUCUCAAUGAUUAUUUGUCAAUUUCUCCUUUCAUUUCCACUAGUUUUGCCUCAUGUAUAUGGAAGCUCUUUCGUAAGGUGCUAUGAAUUUAGGGUUGUUGUAUCUUCUUGGUGAAUUGACCCCUUUCUCAGCAAGUAACAUCCUCUUUCAUCUUGGCUAAUAUUUGUUGUACUUGAUACUAAUGCAGUCAGUAGAGUUGCUCUGAUUAAUGUUUGGGUGGUAUAACUUUUCCCUUACUUUAUUAUAUUCUACCUGAUAAUUUUGUGGUCCUGGAAAUAGAAAUAGGGCGUCACACGUGCUAGGCAAGCACUGUACCACUGAGCUGCCCCUGCAGACCAUCAUCUUAUACUCUGUACCUAUGUCUACAUUUACACUUAAAGUGGGGUUUCUUGCAGACAGAAUCGGGUCUUGUGAUUGUCUCCCAGCUGACAGCCGUGAAUGGCUGCGGACUCUUCCUGCCCGUGCUGUUCCUGGAAACUCUCCCGCCAUCCCACACGCAGCUUCUGUCAGCUCAUUCACAAUUUUAGUUGGCUUCUUCCCACUUGCAUGGUGCUUGACAUUUCACCCUCCUCUCGCUGCCCGGAGCCAGGGCUUGCAAUGCUCCCUCUCCCUGAAGGUGCCUGUCCCCCCUUAGCACUCUGGCUGCCCUGUGCUGCGGCCCUGGAGUUCUGGGAAGUUCAAGUCAAGUCCGGAAGUUUGUAGGUUAUUGAGUUUCCCCUUGUUGUGAAUGCUGCUCUCUGUGCCUCCUGCCUGCCCCUCUCCUUUGCCCCACGCUCCUGCCAACAGCAGUGCCCCUCCACCUUCCCUCUGCAGCUCAGUCUCCCCUCCUCCCUGGUCCUGAAACCUGGGCACUGACCCCCAGUGUGCGCAGCACCCCUGCAUCAGACAGAAGCCUGUCUCUCCGCAGUGUAGUCGGUCCCCUGUCGUUUACUACUCGGGCAUCCACCCUUAUCCUUCAUAGUCUGACUCCCACCAUCCCCAGCCCACACCUCCAGCCAGCCAGCUCUGAGUGUCUUCAACCACGUGCUGCCAGGAGCAUCACCAGGGGGCGCAGCUUCCCCCUCUGCUGACACCACAUGACAGUGCCCCUGCCUCGCCUGACCCAGGGAGGGGUCUGGAGUGUCUUGCUCAUGGCGCUCCAGCCAAGCUUGCUCUCGCCUGCUCCAUGAGAGCUUGAAAUGUUCUGUCAACCGUCCUUGUUUUGUUUCCUUGCAACCCACACAAAACAUUCACUUAUGUUUCUAGUUGUUUUUGUUGUAGAGCACACUGUGGAUAUGUGUGUGCGUCAGCACGGCAGAAUCCUUUCAUUAAUCUAUCACUUCUUCCCCCUCCCUUCUUCUUUUGGGUGUUGGGAUUAAACCAGUGCCUCACACAUGCUAGGCAAGUACUCUGCCACUGAGCCACACAUGUUGUAUUAAUAAUUUUAUUUAAACUGGGGAAAGUGGCAUAUGCCUGUAAUCUCAGCUAUGCAUGGAUGGAAGCAGGAUUCUGGGUUCAAAGCCAGCCUGGGUAACUAAGCAAGACCCCAUUUCAAAAUAAAAUGCAAAAAGGGCUUUAACUGUGGCUUAGUGGAAGAGAGCUUGCCUAGGUUCAGCCUUGAGGAGAGAACAGGAGAAACCAAUUUAAGAUGGUGCAGCCUAUCUAUCCAUAAUAAGCGCCCCUUGGGAAAGCUGACUCUAUUUGCCAGCAGUAAAAAUUGAGCUUACAAGUGUGGAACAUGAUGGACCUUCUGGGAAGAGCCAAGAAGAAAAAUUUGGGACCAAGGGUCAGUUCCUAAAUGAAGGUCAGAGGGCGCAGGUUGUGGGGGGCUCUCCAGUUUAACUACAGCUGCUGGGAGAGCUUGCACUCUGAGGUAGGGCAGGUUCGGGGGGCUGGGCAUUAGGACAGGGCUGCUUCAAAAGAGCACUUUUAUGGUGGCAUUGUAGCACCCUGUGUCCUUCGACUUUGCCCUUGAGCAACGCUCUUUAAAUUAUCGCACAGAAGAGACUCUAGUGAGCUUAGAAUAAUCAGGCUUCCUCUGGAGAGUUAAUGAAGAGCAUCAUAAAAGCCAAGGACGUCUUUUCCCACAGGGAGGACUGCAGCACUGGCAGUAGUGCCAAUUUGGGCUAUGCCGGUUGCCAACAGAGUGACGCUGUGGGAGAGAAAAAUCUGUAAUUACUUGUGAGCAGUGCAGUGGUCCCCUGGAGGAGCAGCACUCCGAUAGGGGACACUCAGGGGUGCUCUGUUGUUCUUAAGUAGCCUCCUCUGGCUGUGACAGCCUCAGAAUGUCCAUCUACAAGGUGGUCCCUGGGGGGUGAUGGGCGACUGCCAUGCAUCUAAGCAGACUAUGAUCUCAUGAGAUGGCUUUGGGGUACUGUCACUGCACCCCAUUUAACUGCUAUAGUGAAUAUAAAACAGUACAUAAAAAUAUAAAGACACAUAUAAGAAAUAACACACACAUACCAAACGCAUACAGAUAAUAUGAACUUGGAGAGCAGCUGUGUUCCUGUGAACAGACCCUUUCAGUGCUCUGUCCUCUUAAAUCUCAUGCAUACUGCCCCAUGAGGUGGCAGGGAGGUGCUCACGUCACUGCAAGUGACAGUGGAGGACACAGGACGAGGAGUUCCAGGGUAAAAGCUCCACGGUGAAUGUACAUUGCCCCUGGCAGUGGUUCUUACCAAGUUUAUCUGUUGCUGACUUUCUUGCAGCUAGAGGAGUACCCGGAAUACAGGAAGAGUGCGGUCAAGAUCUGCUGGACCCCUGGAACUGGAGAGACACUUUAGAGCAAUUAGACUGCAGGCAGGACUCCAUUUUCUGUUUCAUAGGCUGGGUUUCAAUAUUUGGCUUUAGGGCCAUGGACACAGCUCAGUGGCACACGCCUGCCUGUCAAGUGCGAGGUUGUGAGUUCGAUCUUUAGUACCAAAAGAAAAAAUAUGUCUCUAAAUGUGUAAGCCAGUUGCGACGUGACCCAAGGGAUGUGUGGAUGUGAGGGAAGGGAGGGGAGGAAGAGGAUGCAAGGGCGACUUUCAAGGAAGGUGCUCUUCUGUCAAUGCAAGACAUGAUAAAGGAACAAUGCUGACCCCCCCCCAUUCCCCCAGUGCCCACCGUCCAGAGGUGGUACCUUGGCUGCACACGACAUCCUUGGGUCUUAACGCGCCCAGCCUAUCUCUGUACUGGUUUUGGUUAAGACCUCAUAUAAGUCCUCCCUCACACGGCCAUCAGUUUCUCACAUGAAAACUUUCACUCAUCCCUUGCAAGUCACUUUUUCUCAAGAACAAACAAGUUCAAAGUCACGCGGCAGAGGGGCUGAGCCCAGGUGGAGGCGGGCAGGGUGAGAGUGCAUGCCAAGAGCAAAGAUACCAGCAUUGGACGCAAGGAUGCACAAAGGGACAGCUUCGCACAGACUCCGUCCCCCAGCUUGCUCUGCUCCUGAGACAGUGGAAAAGCCGGGGCCGAGCUUCUUGUGGCUGGGAACGGGGUGCAUGCUGAGGGGGGUGGAUGAUCGGUCUCUAGAGCUUUAGGCAGCAGAUGCUAAGAAAGAAGCAGGCUGGGGGCCUUCUUUGGAUGUAGUUCUUACAGUUGACCACCAGGUGGCAAUACCUCCAUCCAAACAGACUCGAACUCGGGACGGAGGAAUAAAACUCCCGAAGAGGCGGAGCCCUGCGGGUUCUGGGUCUGGACUGCGAGGAGUACCCUGACUACCAUGGAACUAAUCCAGUUAUAGAUCCCAUUUUCACCUAUGUGUUCAGUCAACAGUCACCGAGAGCUUUGCAUGUGUCCAGCCCUGGUCUGUGUGUUUUGGUGGUCCGGGUGCAGCCCUGAGCCACACCAGGUUCCCCCCACCCCAUCUGAGUAAGACCAACAUUAAACAAAGAGUUACAGACCACACACUCAUUUCCCUCACGGUAGGUGUUAUACAUGGCCAGGGAAAGGCUUAGUAGCAGGAAGAACUUGAUCUCAGCAAACACUGCCUUGUCAAGGAAGCAUCACGGAGCCUAACACUUCCCUGCUGAUUCACAUCCCACCCCGUCCUAUCACAGAGCUAAUGGACUCCUGCAAACAUCCCUUAAUGCCUCCGAAAUACAGUUCCAUCACUGACUCGAUGCAGAUCUUAACUACAGACCCUAUUCUGCUUCCCACAUCUAAGCAACCUUUACAGUCCUUCCCCGUCUCCUCCAGUCUUGUUUUACCCAAUUGCAUCCUUUCAUCAAAUUCUCCAAGCGCUCUGCUCUUACCCAUCUUUGCUUUUGCUAUGCCUUCCACUCUACCCAACAACUAAUCUAUUCUUGAAAAUAUUUGGCACUCAUGUCAGAUUUGAGGACACAGACCUCUAGAACCAAAAAUAGCAGGUUAUACCAUGGUAACUAUCCUUACUUUCCUAUUGACUUAGGCUGAAAUCCUGUAUUACUUACAUUGUCUUACUAUGACUGAUCUUAAUUGUAUCUGAAUCAUAAGACUAUUGGUUGGCCUUGACUGAUCCUAUUUGAAAUCGGUAUGCGUGUUAGAAUCAACCCUAAAAGUAGAGGAAACUACUCUGAGCAUGACAAGAUGUAAAGGAUAUCCAUACUGGUAUGAAUCAGUAACAGCUCUCAAAUACUACAAUGCAGUCAAAGUUUAGUUUUUAUAAAAAUAGGUGUUAGUAUGUUUAACUAUAAUAAGCCAGUGUUGUGGACAAAUCUAUUGAAAAUAACAAGAGAAAACAUAGUAGCUACGGAAGAUCAUUUAUAUUAUAGUUUUAUAAGUCUUAUCCAUUGCAUGUUUUUCUAGGAAAUUGUUUCGCUGUCUUGUUAUGACUUGGUUUUCCCUAUAAUACAGAGAGGAUAGGAACAAAUACUCUGAGGAAGAGACCUGAAAAACCCGAGGCUUAUUUUGUAGCAUUAUAAUAUAAAUUCUAGCAAUCUAUUGCUUGCUGAUUAGAAUGACAUUGGACUGGUUUCUUCAGCUCAACUUCAGCAUAUGCAGAGAUGGGGAUGGCUAUCACAAAGAGAAUGAGAGAUGCGAUGGUAGUUGCUAUUGUCUUCCCUAAUUUGGAACUUGAGGACCUAAAAAGACUCCAUCAUCCUGUAAUGAUUUGAUUAGUUCUAUAAUAUGCAAUAAGUAUAGAAAGUGGGUGAAGUUAGGGACAACUAUUUGUAAGAAGCUAGAGACAGUUAGAUAAGGUAGAUCUCCAGUGGACUUGCUUUGAAAUCUGUAUUUCUUUAAAUUGUUUUUUAUUUUUUAUUUUUUUUUUCAAAUGUUCUGUUCUGUUUUGAUAUGGUUAACCUUACCCUCUUAGAGAUGUAAAACAAAUAGGUGGGACUGCUAAUCAUAUUACGGAGCUUUUGUUCGACCAUAGAGCAGAAUGGUUUAUAGGGUCACUUUUUUGAAUGUCAUUCUAAAUACUUUAAUUCUAUAACCUGAACAGCCAUUUCGAAGAUGACAAUUUGUAACUUAUCAACCGGCAAUUUCUUACCUUUUGUUUGUCUGUAAUUUAGUAUUAUUUCUACCCUUUUUUUUUUAAUCUCCAUGUAUUUUUUUUUUCUUUUUUCGUUUCCUUUUCUUUAAAUAAAAAAAAAAAAAAAAAAAAAGAAAAUAUUUGGCAAACCAAUGAGCAGGUCCCCGAGUACCCACAUCACAAGGUCAUUCGCAGUCCUGUCAUGGCUCCCAUCCCAGAGGCAGGGUCUUGGCUCUCAGGCUGGCAAGGAGCAGGGCUCUUCUGCCUUAUUUUUUUUCAGAAACAGCCAAAAUGGAAGUGGCUCAGGUCUGACCCCACCCAGACUCGUCAGCUCCUGUAGUUUCUUAGAAGGUUGGCUGGGCUCGGCAUAGGCCUCCGUCCUGAGGUCUGAUUUGAUUCCUGUCACAGUCAUCCUGGGAUUAGUAGUUGCCCUUUACCUCCGCCUCAGGAUGUACCAGGCUCCGUAACAGUAGUUCUUCCUCUUCCCUCUGAAACAUCAGAGAACUCAGAAGAGAAUAUUCCAGGGUUGGCAGAGACAGAGCGAGGGAAUCAGCCUGCUUUGAUCCUUCCUUUCCUUCUCCUCCCCGCACCCCUUCUGUUUAUCUAGUUUUGCUUUUGGGACUGCACGUCCACAGCUGCCUUUUAGCAAGGAGGAGCUCAGAGGAAUUGCAAGACCCAGCGUGACUUCAUGGAACAAGAAAGGAAAGCAAGGCCAGAGAGUGCGAGUUUUUUGCCCGUGUCCCACAGCAGGUCAGCGCAGAGCCUGAUGUCCCUACAGCUCUCCAUGAAGUGCUCCUGCAGAGGGUAUCCCUUACACAGUCUCUUUGUUCACAUUAGCCAAGAAACGCUACUUCCAUUAGGAAGGCACGUCCAAUGCAAACCACUCCAGAGAUUGCAUUUCAAAGAUUGAUAGACAUGGCUUUUGCAUUAUCUGCUGUUUCAGAUUAGCUAUGCUGUGGCUUCAUUCUUUAGGGCUGAUAUUGGGGAUGAGAGGGGUGGGGAGUGGAGGUGGGGAGCCAGUCUUGAGUCCCUUUCACAGGCCCCAAGCUCUGGCCUGUGAGGCUGGGUCCGAGGAGGACAGGGUGAUCCACCCUAUAUUUUCAGUUCGUCAGGAGAUUUCAUUGUUUAAACAAACAUUUCAGCGAAGCCAUCCAGCUGGACAGUGAUUUAUGGCUCAGGCUACAGUUUUUCCCCAACAAAGAUAAACAAUCAUGCAACUGUUGGGACUGGGACUCCUGGUUCUAAUAAUUCGGAGUUGGCUGGACCACGCCAGCCAUCGCCUGGUCUGGGGUUUGGUUAGGAUCUGUUCACACUGGUCCUGCGGCUAAGCCACAAACCUUGGGGGACCAUGUUGUGUUUGGAAGCGGGAACCAUUGCCUCCAGGGCAGGGGAGAGUGGCAGAAAGAGCCGAGAAAAAUAGCCUGGGGUUUGGGCUUCAGGCCCAUCCCCCCGCUUCCAAGAGGGCACCAGUGGUCUGCAUUCCACCAGGUAGCUAUUUGGUGUUUGGGAUCAACAGUUUCCGUUCUUCCUUCUUUGGGAAAUGUAUGUUAGUUUCCUUCUGUGGUGCUGUACCAGGUUGUACCAUGCUUGUGCAAUUCCCUCAAUUCUUGAUGCCAAGCGUGGGUGUGAGCUCAGCCUGACCACUCAGAGCAGUGCACUCUAAUGGUCAUUGCAACUGAUUGGGCGGGGUAGGGGCCAUAUAACCCAAUGAAAAACGACAAAAGUAACCAGAAGUUUACUGAGGUGGUGGGAAGAAGGCAGGUACUCUUUCCAGCUAGAUUUGGACUGAGGAUGGCUUGGGAGCAGCACUGGCCGCCAGGGCCAUUGCCACCAUCUUGCUUCCAAGGUAGAAGUCUGUCUGACAAUGGAACGAAAACACAGGAAAGGAGGCAGAGGCUGGAGAGAGACCACCUCCUGGUGACUAUGCUGAUGCUCCUGACGUCGCCCAGGUCUUUGGCAGUGUGCAACUGCAAAAGUCACCAGCAUCCACCAGCCGACACAGUAAGGAAGGACUGGCUAGCGCAGGCGUCUCCCCGGUCUCCAGCCGGCAUCCAGGGUCCAUGGCUUGGCAAGAGUACAGCGACUUCCUCACCGACAAAGGUGUCGCCCAGGCAGAUGCUUGUACUGAGAAGCCGAUUUUCAAUUCAGCAGGUGAGGGGGAGUUCCUGAACUCUCUGGAGCACGAAUGGGUCCUCCCUGGGGCUGCUUUUCAGAGACUUCAGAGAGAAGUGCAGAGAGGUUGCAUUGCAGUCUUAGGAGAUAACAUCGGCCCAUUCAUAGGACAGGGAGAACCCCAGCUUCUAUUUCGCCAUAUUUCAAGAAGGGAGGUUUCGGAAACACAGCUUGAAGUCCAAAAGUCAAUGAAAGGCAAGUAUGAGGUCCUGAGUUCGGUUCCCAGUAUUAUGUCCCCCCUCCAAAAAAAAAACCCAUAAAAGUCAUAAAAGGUUGAUGUAACUAACUGUAUACAAAAAUUUUGGAAUGACAAAAAAUACCUUAAAGUCAAAAGAUAGGACAAGGUGGAAAAACAUUUACUACCCAAUGACAGUAGGUUGGUUGGUUUCUUAAAUAUAUAAAAAGCUUAUAUUGCAGAAAGAAAAAUAAGUAACAGCCAAUGACAAAAUAUGCGAAAGGUGUGAAUAGAAAUUUUAUAAGAAAAAUAAUAGAAAUGUUAUUUUUUUUUUGUCUUUUUCAUUUUUAUCGGUACCAGGGAUUGAACUCACGACUGCACACUUGCAAGGAAGGCGCUUAUGCCGCUGAGCUAAAUCCCCAGCCCCCAAUAGAAAUGUUAUUAAACAUACAAAAAGAUAACAGUGAUAGUACUUAUACAGAGUCUAUUUGUUUAUUUAUGGUCCUGCAGAUUGAACCCAGGGAGUUCUGAGCUGUAUCCACAGCCCUUUUCAGUUUUAUUUUAAAAAUUUAAGACAGUAUCUUGCUAAAUUGCCUGGUCUGGUUGUGAAUUUAGAGUCCUCCCGCCUCAGUCUCUCAUGGCGCUUGGAUUACAGGUGUGUAUCACCAUGCUUGGUUUAUGGGGCUUAUCUUUAGCUACACAUUUAAUUUUUAUCAGAACUGCAUGAUGAAGGUUGCUGUUAUUAUAAUGCCAUUUUACUGAUGAGAAACCAACCAACAAAAAACCCCCAACAAAACAAAACCACAAAAAAACAGACAAGCAAAUUGCUGAAAGACACUGAACUAAUAAGCCGUUGUUUGGAGGUUUGGACAAUUAGGCAAUUAGGGACCAAUUUGCCCUUUGGAGGCCUCGUGGGGCUGAGGAUGUUGCUCAGUGGUAGAGUAUCUGCCAGCACACACAAAGCCCUGGCUCCACCCUCAGCUCUAGGGGGAAAAUAUGUUCGCCAAGCACUUUUUGUUCAAUCUUACCUAUUUUAAAAGAAAUGAGAGUUAAAACUGCACCCAAAUGUCAUUCUUUAGAUGUUUAGUUAGAUUUCUUAGAUGCUUAGUUAGGUUGACAAAGCUGAAAAUAUUUGUUGAAUGACUGGUAAAACUGAGGAAGAAAAGAGCUCUAAUGGUGGAAGGGUGAAUGGGCGUAAAUAUUUUGGAGGGCAGUUUAAUUCAUCAAAAUUUUAAAUACAUAUGUGCUUUGACCUAGAAACCCCAUUUUAAAGCAUUUUUUUCUGAUAAUACAAAGUAUUAGAGGUUUUUUUCUUUUGCAGUGUGUUUGUAAAAGUCCAGGAGCAAACUGAAGUGUCCAUCACCGUGGACCUGGGUGUGCGGUUUAUGGAUGAGACAGUUGGCAAUACGACAAAGAAAACUCUCUAAGAUGCAUUGUUAUGUAAAAAGGGUAAAGGAGAGAAUAAGGCAGAGCAUGUUCCACCCAAAUGUUUUUCCACGUGUGCUGGGACUUGGGGAGACAGCUGGGUGCCUAUGGCAGGGAUGACAGGGAGUGAGGAUUUUUAAGAAAACUGUAUAUGCUUUGGUACCAUUGAAGGACACUGAAAAUAUGUUCAAGGGUCAUUUUUCAUUUUUAUUUUAUUUAUUUAUUUAUUUAUUUAGUCUUUUUCCUUUUUAUCGGUACCGGGGAUCGAACUCAUGACUGCCUGCUUGCAAGGCAGGCGCUUAUGCUGCUGAGCUAAAUCCCCAGCCCCUUUUAUUUUUAAUUAGAGUUAAAAUUGCACCCAAAUGUCAUUCUUUAGAUGUUUGGUUAUUUUAAUUAUUUAUUAUUUAUUAUUAUUUUUUUCUUUUUUUGGUACUGGGGAUUGAACUCACAACCUUGUUUUUGCCAGGAUGGCCCUUGUACCACUGAGCUAAAUCCCCAGCACUAUUAUUUAUUUAUUUAUUUUGUGAGUCAGAUCUUGCUCUGGGGUUUAGACUGCUCUACAGCCUAGACUAGCGUUGGACUCGGGACAGUCUUCUUGCCUCAGCCUCCCAAGUGCUGGGAUAUGGAUUACAUGGCUGUACCACCAUGCUAGUGUCAUCUUUUAAAAACCAGUUACAGUUAAACAUAGUACAGUGCUCUCUGGAGCCAUCCCACAGAGAAAUAUGUGAUUGCAUUAUUCUUCUAAGGACCGACUUGUCAGCUCAUCUGGGCUCAUGGGAAAAAGAAGGGACCUGUGUUGUGGGGUUACCCCCAGAACUGAAAGGGGCAGGCGGCUGGGGCUUCAGUAAGUUCUACCCGGGAAGAAGAUGCUUGCCAGAUGCUCGCCAUCCUAAGACAGAAAACAGCAUAGUUUGGACCUAGAAUGUCCCCCUAAGCCUCAUGAGCUUGUAUGCAGGGCUUUUGGCAAGUGGUUGGGUCAUGGGGCACUAGGGCUGACUUGCUGCCAGCAGGAAAGUCUGGUCAGAAGAGGUGAGUCACUGGGGUGCGACCCGGAAGGUCCAUCGCCCUCCCCAGCUCUUCCCUUCGCCCUCUGCUUCUGUGUCUCUCCCGCCUUACAGCGGCCAACUAUGGACUGAACCUCUAAAAACCAUGCACCAAAAUAAACCUCUCCUUUAUCUUGUGCGUAUUGUUUUGGUAAUGAGAAAAGUGAUAAAGAAGGAAACGUUCAGCCUCAUUUCUUUCUGCGACAUUAAGCUUUACUGGCGACUUGAUUGUCUUGGGAGCCGCCUAUGGGAUUAGCAAAGCACACAUCCGAGCUGUCUGGGUGGAUCAAGGAGGUGUGACCUUGCGGUCUGUAUCUGACCCCUCGCCCCUUCCGCUCUGGUACUGUUUCCCUGCUCUGCAUCCUGGCUGCCGACAGUUUAACAGUUUCUCUUGGUCAUGCUCUUCUGCACAAUGUUUCUCCCUGGAGCCAUGGAACUGUGAGCCGGAUUAAUCCUCCUUUACUUUGUGUCACGUAUUUGUUCCUAGCAAUGUGAAAACUAAUAUCCAUCCAUCCAUCCUUCCUUUCUUCCUUCCUUCCUUUGGUACAGAAAUUUUUUUGUACUGGGAAUUGGGACUGGGGACUUAAGUGUGCCAAACAUGUCCCCUACACCCCUGUCCAGUUUUUAUUUCUUAAAAACGAUUCAUAUACCCCAAUUAAUAUGUGUGUUUCAGCACACACUGACUACAGAACUGCACCCAAAAAUCCUUCCUUUAAAGAAAACGCCAAACCUAAAGUUUCUUUAGAAAAUGUUUCAGGCAAAUUCAGGAGAAAAGAGCUGUGCCCAUGUCAGAAAGGAGCAGCUCAGGCAGUGUGAAGGUGGGAUUCGACCAAACCACCAUGUGCUGUAUUGUGAGCUCUUGCCAAGGGUCUGUUCUCUGUGCAAGGAUCUUUCAUAAGGCUUUCUAGACUUCCAGGAAGUCUGAAUGAGACUGAAUAAAUUGGACUGGGAUGGGACACACUGUGGGCCUGGGAUUUUAGGGUAGAAUGUAGGGACUUAUGAGUGGAGAUUGAAGGAAUAGAAAGAGAAGCUGAAAGGCCAGAGUGGCUAAAUUCCAGAAAGCAAAGAUAGACUAAAAAACAGGCUAGAAGGAUUUGUUUUAGAAACAGUUCUGCAAAGAGCAUCUUUGUGGAAUGCUUGGUAUACUUGUCCACGCUUCCUUCAGAAUGAAUGUUUACAAGUUGAGUGGUUAGGUCAGGGUUGUAUAUGUAUAUUAAAAGGUUUUUUUUGAGAAAAGGUCUGUCUGUGUUGCUGAGGUGGUCUUGGACUCCUGGGUUCGAGUCAGCCCCUUGCCUCGGCCUCCUGAAUGGCUGGAACUUCAGGUAUGCGCCCGCACCAUUGAUUGCACACCUGUGAGAUUUUAUCCGUUUCCUCUAGAUGAUGUGUGAGGUUUUCUCCUCCCUUAUGACUUCUGCCAAUCGUUUCAGAGAGUUUUGAGGCAGGGGAUGGGAAUUCGAAGAGUUCAUGUCAGACAUUUCUUAUUCUUCUUAAUAAGGUAAGGGGUGAGGUCCUGCCAAGUUCAGAAUACUGGGUUCAUUAAGCCUGGAAAUCAAGGAGAACUGCAAAGGUAGGAAGGGUCCGGGUGACAGAGCCUGGAGUGCCCGCUGCAGGAGAUGGUAAGCCUCAAUUAGGAACGGCUUGAACUUGAUGGUUUACCAAAGUGUGGUUUAUUUAACAGCUUUGUUUUUACUACUGUCUUUUUGGCAGUGUUUAAAAUGAGGAAUUCUGUUUUUAACUGAAAAAAGAUAAUAAAAUGGACAAUUCAAUUUAACUAUAGAAACACUAAUUUAGUGCUUACUAUGUGCCAAUUACAAGGUUUGCAAAAAUGAGCUAGGUUUGGGCUGGAUGUGGUGAUGCACAACUAUAAUCCAGCACUCCGGGGGCCUGAGUAGUAUUAAUAGCAAGUCUGAGCCCAGACUGAACAGUUUAUCAAUGUAGCAUGAACUUGUUUCAAAAAUGAAAAGAAAAAAUUGGGAGCUGGGUGUGGUGGUGCAUGCCUGUAAUCCCGGCACUCAGGAGGCUGAGACAGGAGGAUUGUUGCAAGUUUGAGACCAGCCUGGGCUACAAAGUGAGCUAAAAAAACUAUAAAUAAAUAAAAUUAAAACCAAAAAACGAAGUGAGCUCAAGACCAGUCUGAACUGCACAGGGAGAUCCUGCCUCAAAAGACAAAACAAACAAACAAGUAAAAACCAAAAAGUUCUGGGGAUAUAGCUCACUAUCUCACUACAAAGGUCCUGGGUUCAAUUCCCACUACCAAAAAACAAGACUUGGGUCCUGCUCUUGAGAUGCUCCAGUCCAGUGACAGACAGGCCCAUUAAGUAAUAAUUACAACACACUGCAACAAGAAUAGAAAGAGGUAAAGCAUACAGCUUGAAACAGCGUGGAAGAAGGAAAUAUCCUUCUUGGAUAUUGGAUAUUGGAGCAGGUUCACCUGGAGAGGCAUGGGAGAAGGGUCAAGUCUGCGGGCAGGUGUGCAGAGUGAGUUGGAGGAAUUUGCGUAUCUGCUGGCCGCAAGGGAAGGCAGGGCACCAAUCAGGGCUCAGAAUGUUUCCUAACUGCAGUACAUUUAACUCUGGCUCAGCUCAUGGGGACAAGUGGAGGUUUAAGCUGCUUCGUGGCAGGUGCCUGGAGGCUGGUGAUGUAGCUGGGGGUUUAGGACCCAAUUUCCUUCUCUUGAGAAUUCAGAGGUCUUCAGAGCUUGUGGGAUGGGGUAGGAGGACUUGUGUGGAGAUGGGACAGAGUGUGACUCCCGCCUUGCUGCUGUGAAAGGCUGAGUCACAUGUGGGCCAGGCAGGAAAGCCAGCCAGGGAUCAACAGAUGCUGGUGAUGGCUGGUGCCCAGCCUUCUGGGUGCUGCAGAGGUUAGUUGGUACAUUAUUCAUCUCAUCUGUCUGAGCCCUUUGUGUGAGGGACUAUUUCUGCGCCCACCAACCUCUUUCCUCCCAUCCCCUUUCCUCUUUUAUUCUUUCAUUGUUUCAGAGGACCCUUCAUUGUUUAUUUUAGGAGCACAGAGGAAGGAGAGAAGCCUUACCUGCUAUUAAAAUGUUUCUCCUAAAUAUUUUAAUCUUUCCCCAAUAUCAAAGCUUUUCUUUUCCUUUUAUGCCCUGUGACAUCCCUCCUCUAAGGCAGAGAAUAAAUAGUCCAGCUGCUUGCAUAGGAGUUGGGGUUGGGAUGGGUUGUGGGCAGGGAAGACAAUGAAAGAAAGAAUAUCGCUUACCUCGAAAAUGUUUCCUGCUGCAUGAUAGUUGUUGGUCUGGCGAUCACUGACCACCCUAUAGCUGAAAAAGUGAAUUGCAAGUAAUAUGAUACAUGAAAACUGCUUGGGGACCUGUCUGGUAAUGAGGAUAUUUAAAGUUGUGUGCAUGCUAAUCAGGCAUGGUGAUACACGAUUGUAACCCCAGCUACUUGGAAGGCUGAAACAGGAGGAUCCAAAGUUCGAGGUCAACCUGGGCCAACACAAGAAGAUCUUGAAUCAAAAUUUAAGAAAUAGAAGGGGCUGGGCAAUAGCUCAGUGAUGGUGCACUCGGAAUUCAAGACUCAGGAUGGGGUCGGGGAGUGGCCUGUACAUGCACAAAACAAAAGCAAGGAUUACCCCUGCAGACUAGUGGCAUGGGUCCCUCUACAUCUUUUUGCUUUCCUGGGAGUGUGUGGUGGAUGGCUGGAGUUGUAGUCUCAGUUUGCCCAGUUCAGCCUUUUGCUUUAGGUCUCUGAUCGCUUGAUUUUGCCUGUGUUGUGCCCACUUGAGGGAGUGAUGCAUCUGUAAGGAGCAGGGCCAGAGAUUCAAGAGCGACAUAAGAAGGCUGUGUCAAGGCCUGGAGUUCCCUUUCAUUCAGAUGAGCCUUUGGGGAGUGCCACCACCCCACCCAUUGACAGCUUUUUUAGCCUCGAGCUCAUCCCAAGUUGGGUCCCUGCUCUUGGGGCUGCAUUGGGCAUGGGUUUCAAGUUUGGUGGCACAUGGGACAAGACAAUGUGACCAGCAACCAAAACAAGCAUUCACAGGAUGUGAGAGGACCUCUGAGAAGCAAGCGGUGAGGAGGGGGCUUGCAAAAAGCUGCUGAGUAGGGAGGAAGGCUGAAGAGACUCACAGAGACUGGUCAUCUUCUACCUUCGGAAUUUUUCAUCUGAAGCAUGAAAUUUAAUAAAAGCUUUAAAGAUCCUGGAAAAACAAAUGAACCAGGUGAGAGAAUGGAAUCCUGGGGCAGGUGCAGCAUCCAUAUUAUUAUUACGGUGAAGGCAGACAUUGGAAUUAGCUCCGAGAUUGGGUUUGGAAUCCUGUUAUGUUGCUCUGGGUAAAUGGGCCCUGGGGGAAAAUUGCUUUGCACUUCCUGAGUUAGGAAGGGUGGGAACAGGGCUGGAGGAAGUGAAUCUCUAGAGACAACAGUAUCCCCAUCCUCAUUAUCCAGGGAGAUGCUGGGUAGAAGCCAGAUGGCAAAUAUUUCAUCACAGAGAGUAUCCGUUAGAGAGCACAUCCUGUGUCAGGGGGACCACAUGCCUGGUGCUGAUGCUGUGAGGCCAGCUGCCAUCUUUCCUGAGCUCCUACUGUGUGCUCAGCGAGUACUGUCACAUCAUGCAUCCCAGAACAUUCACAUUGUAUUCAAAGCGAUGUCACUCCUUCAAGCACAUCUGUUAUUUGUUGUUGCAUGGCAACCACCACAAAACUUCAUGACUUCUUUUUUUUUUUUUUUUUUUUUUUUGAUAUUGGGGAUUGAAUUCAUGACCUUGCACUUGCCAGGCAGGCACUUAAACCACUGAGCUAAAUCCCCAGCCCCAAACUUCAUGACUUCUAACAAACCCUUAUGGUUUUGUGAGUUGCCUUGGCUCAGCCAGGUGGUUCUCACUCAGAUCUCCUCAUGUGGAGUCACAUGAGGAGACGAGAUGAUCAAGGUGACUCAGCACAGUGUGGGUGCUGGCUGUCCACCUGAGGGUCAUCCUGGGCCAUGACUUACACAUGGUUUCCCCAGGUAGUUCGGUUUCUCAUACGCUGGUGGCUGGGUUCUGAGAGGGAACAUUCCAAGAGCAAGUGUCCCAUGAGGCCAUGCAGAACCCACAAGAUUUCUUAUGACCCAGCCUUGGAGGUACACGAAUGUCAUUUCCAUGGCAUUUGGUGUCAAGUCUAGAUUCAAGAGAAGGAUAUAGAUUCUGCCUCCUGGUAGGAUAGUGGGUCCUGGAUAGGAUAGGAUAGGAUAGGAUAGGAUAGGAUAGGAUAGGAUAGGAGUGUAUGGGAUAGGGAAGUAAGAUGUUAAAGGUGGCAUCUUUGAAGGGGAGCUACCACACAUACCACCAGGGUUGCUCCAUGUGCAAGCCAUCUGUGCAGUUGCAUGGGACCUCAAGGGACCUCACGUGGGGUCCCGUGCUUGGCUGAACGCUUUGUUGCCGCUAUCUUAAACAGUUGAACCACCUUAAUAAAAAACCCCAUAGUUUCCUUUUCCCUGGGCCUCACGAGUUCCACAGCUGGCCCUCAGUGGGACUCCCUGCCCAGGGAGUGACUCCUGGAUUCGUGCAGUGUGGUGAGGGGUGGGGCAGGAGCUGAACUCUGCUCUGCAGAUGGACUCCUACCUCUGGAGAACACACAGACCGACCGAGGACACAAUUUAUAAGAGAUGCUGCAACUGGUGGUGCAAAUCGAGCACACGUCAGCUUGACUGUGCAAGGCGGGCCCAGACGGGCCGGGGGGAUCCUCGCCUCCACACCCUCUCUUGGGUUCUCACACCAAGCCUACCCUGGGCAGGGCCAGAAAAGCUUCUCGGAAUCUUAGAAAUGUCCUGGUCCUCUCCCCACCCUCUCUGCUCUCGACCCUUAUUCCCAAGGCUCCUGUGCUGGGGCCCUGAAGGAUGGGGCUUCCCACAUCAGGACAGGCUCAGGCUGAGUGGGGGGAGGAAGUGCUGAGCCCGGGAGGGAUGAUAAGGAUGCAGGAGGAGCCCAGCCAGUGCAGGCUCGAGUUCUGUGGUGAGCCACAGAAUUUUAGGGAGAGGGGUGGUGGGAUGAAAGGAGAGAGCUCUCUGGUCUUCUCCGAGCAGCAGGCUGAGCACACUGGGACUCUGAACAAUGCCACCCUCCUAUUCCACAGCCAGAUGGCCACUGGCCAGGCACAGGCCAUGCCUUCUUCCAGGACAAGAAAUGGCUCAAGGAGCCCUCUAGACCUUUAACUAGGGCACAAAGACAGUUCCAGUAGGAGGGCACCUCUGUUCACGGACAACCCAGGGGCCUUCAGUGGGGUCAUCAUUGCUGAGUGUACACAGCAGCUUUUUUCCUGUGCACGCCAGCAGAAUCUCUUUGCCAUCAGAGGCAGCUAAGCCAUGUCACCUUUAUGAGACUAAGAGGGCUCAGGAAGCUAAUUCUAGGAUUACUCUAGAAGAAUCACUUACAGAUGAGCUAGCUAAGGCCCACUGGGCCAUCAUUUUUUGGCUGAUGCUGGCCAAUUGCCUGUUGUUCUUGGUUUAGUUUCUCCCUUCCUCGGGCUCCUCUGCAGGGACCACUUUCCAAGUCUCCAAGUCCUUAGGCUUCCGGGUCAGCUUGGGAGUCCUCACACGAGACUACAAGGUGGUAGGGGGAAAACAGUCAAGAUGUUCCUCUCUGCCUGGUUCUUGUGUCCUUGGAAGAAUCUGUUUCCUCAUGGAUCCAGCUCAAGUUGCAUCUCAUCACCAUUGCACCUCUCACUGGACAUCCCUGGCUUCUCAGCUCUUCCACCACCUGUGUGAUUCUUCUUCCAUCGAAUUCCCUCCCUGGGAAACACCUGGGCUGAUAUCACGGGUCACACUGUCUCUUUUAUAACCAGGAAGCCCUGGAGGUCAGGGAAGACUCUGUGACAGUUUUUCCAUUCCAAAGGCCUGGUUUGAAUUCCACAGGGGUUUCCCAGGCUCAGAUCCAGCUAGAUCCCUUUGUUGUUCACAUUAAUAGUCAGAUUCCAGAGCACAGAGCAAACUGAGAAGACACCCAGGCCUCCUCCCCCUAGUCCAGGUCUCUAGCCCUUCAGACCAUCUUACUGGGGAGGAAGGAGGGGCCAGAGUUUAGGGAUGGAGGCAGCCUGGCUGAUGUGCUCAAAGCCUGGGUGAGGGUGCACGGGUGACUGAAGUCCACUCUUAAGCAUACCCUGAUGUCACUGCUCACAUCCCUUGUUUUAAAGACUAGUGAUCAAGAGAGCAAGUUGUGCUAUAUAUGUGUGUGUGUGUAUGUGUAUGUGCUUAUUAGGGACUAAUAUAGAUGUGAAAGUAUAGGAUUUAACAUUCAACACGGAUGUAUAUGGGUGGUUUCCUUUGUGAGGAGGUGGGUCUAUUGCAAUUACACUUAAGCUUGUCUCUCGAGGUCACUUGACCCCCAAGACAAAGUCUUUUGGGGUCAUUUGCAAGAUACAGGUCUAGAACAGAAUUUGUCGAGGAGUAGUUGACUUAGCCUGAGAACAUGACGUGUUGGAGAUGAACCUACAUCGGGGCGUGGGAACUCUCAACCCCUUCCCUAACUGGAGGCCCAGCUCUCUCCAGCUGUGUUCACAGCUGCACACCACUCCUUCUAUGGGGGUGAAGGAAACAAAUGAGUGACAUGUCACCAGAUGACUGUCAGGGAGCUGUCUAGGUCCCGGUAGACUGGGACUUUCAAUUUUGGAAAAGUGGAUUGUACUUAUUUUGGGUUUUCCUCAUUAAGACACAGGAUUCAGGGGGAAGAAAGCAUGCAAAAGGGCAAAUCAGGAGCACUGGAGUAGUCGCUGGAUAGGACUCGUGUUUGCACACACGUGUGCUGGGGAGAGAGGCACAUAUCCCCACACUGGCCUCCCGACACAAGGCACUGCUGCCUCGAUCCCCCAGCCUCCCUCUCCACCUUCCCUUGGGAGUACGGUCUGGGUAUGAGCUUCUGCUUAUGUUUCCUGCUCCCUAAGCACCAAAAAGGAAAUAGAAAAAGAGAAUUUUUUUGACAGAAAGAGGGCAGAAUACUGAGGAUUGAACCUAUUGCCUAACUCAUGCCAGAAACUGUCCUACAUUGAGCCACAUUCCCUGUUCUUUCUGUUCUGAGAUAGGGUCUCACUAAAUUGUUCAGGCUGGUCCGGAACUUGCAAUCCUCCUGCCUCAGCUCCUUUAAGUAGCUGGGGUUAUGGGUGUGUGCACCACAGCUGAUGAGAUAUUUUAGCCUCUAGCUUCAGUCUCCUGUACACUCCUGGUGGAGACAGUGCGGUAUCAGAUCUGUCCUUUCUGCACCAGUGAUUGUGCACCUGGACUGAGCUCAAGAGUCGGGAUAAAGUUGGCCCACAGGACCUGCCACAUUCAGGCAAUGUGGUCCUUCUCGCCUGCCCUGGAUCCUGUUUUCUCGUAGUGCCUCUGUGCCCACUGCUUGGUCCUGGUGACUGCCCAGUCCUUUUAGGCUUAAGACUCUGCUUUGCUCUCUCUGCAUUUCUCCCCUGUCAUCUGGUCCUUGCAUUCUGGGAUCUGAAGACAGACAUCCUUGCUGCCGCCUGGCUGCCAGGACUUCCAAAAAUCCCUCUGGAACUGUCCAUUGCUGAGACCCACCCGCCAGCACUGACACCCUGUUACCAACUGCUCCUCCCCUCCCCAGCCACUGACUGCUGCAGAACUGCCACCUGUUGUCUGUUUCCACACCCUCGCGCAUGCACUGUGCCUGUCACCCUGGACGGCUGCCCGGCAGCUGCACAGAGGCUGUCUUGCCAGCACCUUCCACCUGAUGGGUGGUCCCGUCCUGUUCCCAGCCUGCCCAGCUCGCCUCAUCUGCUGUCCUCGUUGGCCACAUCUGGUUGGCUAGAGAGCGAAGCAGCCAGGAUGGGCCCAGGGCACCCUCAAGAAAGAUGGUUACUUUCCUUGAGGACUGAACAGGGAGACCCAGGUCUCAAAUGUGAUCGUGACAGACCAUACUGAGAAUAGUAGCUAAUGUUUACCAAGGACUUAGGUCGUAAUGGUGCCACAAUUUACCAACAUCACUCUAUUAUACAACUUCCUUAUAAGGUAAAUACUAUGAUAUCCCCUUUUGACAGAUGUAGAAACCAAGCCUAAGUAGUAUAAGUGAAUUUGCUUAAGGUUCCCUAGGCCUAAAUUAUGGAGCUACAAUUUAGAUCCAAGGUGUGAACUACAGAGCUCAAAGUCAUAACCAUUAGACCAAAGUGCCUCUGUCUAAGGGCCCAGAAACUUCCCUGUUGUCUCCAAUGACCUCUCUGUGGUGUGAGAGCAACUGAUCCCUGGGGAAGGCUAUGGUCAAGGCUCUGGAUACUUCCUGCUUGCUUUAGAAAACAGUACUGGAAUAACCUCUUACCUGCUCACCUUUUUGAGGUCGUCAAGCUACACAUCCUCCAUGUUCCCUGUGUGUACCCAGCAUUUCUUACUUUGGGUCUCCUCUUGGGCUCCUUAAAAGUUUUCAGGAGGAAUCAUCUUGUGACGAUGUAGUUAAACAAAGCAGAAUGGGACAUAUGACUAAAUCAUUGAUGAAUGGGUCUGUCUCCUUCGAAGGCCAGAGACUGUAUGAAUGUGAAGGAGAGGCAGGAUGUGGGGGUGCAGAAGUGGUCAAGGGGAAGAUGGAGGCUCCUGGAGAAGGUGGUACACAUCACCCACGGGGUGCAGCCCUGCCUGCCCUGGAACAGCUAUGCGAAGUGGAAAGGAAAGGUGUGCACUGAGUUGGGGGCCUUUGGUGUUCACAGAAUGAUCCUGUGGAGGUGAGGAUGGUGGAGGAUAGGGCCUGAGGGGGCUGGAGACUGACACGAGUACCAAUGGGACAGUUCAUUGUUAGUGGUCUUUGCAUUUUGCUUAUUCUUUUUUUUUUUGGUACCAGUAGGUGCUUAUGCCACGUGGAGCAGGAUUUUAUGUCACUGGCCUGCAUUUUGCUUAUUCUUGGAAAAACAAGUUCUCAAGAAAGAUAUCAAGGAGAGAGCCUCAUGCACUGGCCGCUGCUGGAUUAGGGAUGGCCGGACCCAAGCAUCUCUUCGUGAGUCAGUGCCAUUUGUGGACUGCGGAGGGAGAGAACCAGGCCUCACAAGGAGGUGAUCCCUACUUGGAAACCAGCGCCAUGCCCGGGACACUGCCAGAGUGGGAACAGCCACACCCAAGCUCUCUCUGUGAGUUAGUACCAAUCGUGGACUGUGGAGUAAGAGAACCAGGCCUCACCAGGAGGUGAUCCCUGCCUGGAAACAAUAUCAUUUUCAUUGUUUUGUUGGGUUGGGUUUUAUUCUCUUUUGCUGUGUUUGAUUGUUAAAUCUGAUGGCAGGAGCAGGUAUUUGAAAGAGAGCAAGACAUAGUAUGGCAGCCACUUUGGAUUUAUUAGUGGCUUGUUUUGAAGUCCUUUAUUGCAUUCGCUGUUUUGUUUUCAUUGUUUCUAUUCUGUUCUGUUCAAUUUUUACUGUGUCUGAAGGUAUCUGCAGCUAUUUUGAAGACAACACAACAAAAGGCAUUAUGGUAACUAUUGAUUUUGUAAGGUUUUGAAGUCCUGUAUCACUUAUACUGGUUUAUUUUGAUUGGUUUUAUCCUGUUUUAUUUUCCUUGGUUUUAUCCUCUUUAAAAUUAAAAGAAUUAUAAAAAGAGAAA